AAGAUCUUAGCUUUUCCAUCAUAAAUAUCAUAAGUUUGUUUUUUGAAACGCUCCCAUGCAAUCUUCAUGCUAUUUAAUGAUAGGGUUGUACGUGGUUCGGUUCAGGGAUAAAAAGAAAAAUCCCCGAAAUCAAAUAGAAUUGAAAUUUUAAUUCAGUCCUCUGUUCUCAAAUCAUCAAAAGAAAAACUGAAUCAAACCGAAAUUCAGUUUAUUUUUUCAAUUCCCCCCUCAAGUAAAAGGAAUAGUAAAAUUUUUAGAUAAGUCAACCCCUUAUAAUCAAUUUGGUGAAUGUGGUACAAAUCCCACAAAUUUG
rnacentral:misc_RNA from 1 species